rnacentral:rRNA from 1 species
UUGAAGUUCAGGUAACACUGAAUGGAGGACCGAACCGACUUACGUUGAAAAGUGAGCGGAUGAACUGAGGGUAGCGGAGAAAUUCCAAUCGAACCUGGAGAUAGCUGGUUCUCUCCGAAAUAGCUUUAGGGCUAGCCUCAAGUGAUGAUUAUUGGAGGUAGAGCACUGUUUGGACGAGGGGCCCCUCUCGGGUUACCGAAUUCAGACAAACUCCGAAUGCCAAUUAAUUUAACUUGGGAGUCAGAACAUGGGUGAUAAGGUCCGUGUUCGAAAGGGAAACAGCCCAGACCACCAGCUAAGGUCCCAAAAUAUAUGUUAAGUGGAAAAGGAUGUGGCGUUGCCCAGACAACUAGGAUGUUGGCUUAGAAGCAGCCAUCAUUUAAAGAGUGCGUAAUAGCUCACUAGUCGAGUGACACUGCGCCGAAAAUGUACCGGGGCUAAACAUAUUACCGAAGCUGUGGAUUGUCCUUUGGACAAUGGUAGGAGAGCGUUCUAAGGGCGUUGAAGCAUGAUCGUAAGGACAUGUGGAGCGCUUAGAAGUGAGAAUGCCGGUGUGAGUAGCGAAAGACGGGUGAGAAUCCCGUCCACCGAUUGACUAAGGUUUCCAGAGGAAGGCUCGUCCGCUCUGGGUUAGUCGGGUCCUAAGCUGAGGCCGACAGGCGUAGGCGAUGGAUAACAGGUUGAUAUUCCUGUACCACCUAUAAUCGUUUUAAUCGAUGGGGGGACGCAGUAGGAUAGGCGAAGCGUGCGA